rnacentral:rRNA from 1 species
UACGAAGGGGGCUAGCGUUGCUCGGAAUCACUGGGCGUAAAGGGUGCGUAGGCGGGUCUUUAAGUCAGGGGUGAAAUCCUGGAGCUCAACUCCAGAACUGCCUUUGAUACUGAGGAUCUUGAGUCCGGGAGAGGUGAGUGGAACUGCGAGUGUAGAGGUGAAAUUCGUAGAUAUUCGCAAGAACACCAGUGGCGAAGGCGGCUCACUGGCCCGGUUCUGACGCUGAGGCACGAAAGCGUGGGGAGCAAACAGG